GAUCUCAUCUGGACAUCCAGCCCCGCCCCGCCCCUCACAGCCGUCCGCCGCCGCCUCCUACCCCGCCGCCGCGCCUACCCCUACACCAAGUGCCAACACACUCGCACCCAUCCACUACCGGGGACCCGCGGCCUUCUACCGCCGGUGGCACUCGACGUCGCGGCCAUUGGCGGCUCCCCGACCUUGCUACCAUGGCGCCUCCGGGACUCCUCCCCGCUGCUUCCACCUUGACAUUGGUUUCCCCAACACCGCUGGCUUCGCCACCAGCCACUCCUUCUAGGCACACUCUAUCUGCCGUCGGACCCAUCCGCCUGGUUCCAAUGGUGAACAUCGCCACCACCCUAUUGUGAGGCGAGGUGAUGUUCUUCGAACUGCCGGCUUGAUUCUGCCUAGAAGGGGAUAUCAUACUUCUCCUAAUCAGGAUUGUUGUGUAACGGAAUGAUGGUAGGAUGCUGAAUAAUAAUGGAAGAAAAAGGAGUAGAGGCUUUACCUAAUGUACCUACAGCAACAAUGGGUUGCCCCACCAAACAUCACUAGAGGACUAGGAAGGAAACGGUGAUUUCUCAAUCAGGUUCUAUUGGCCGUUCUAGCAUUAGCAUCAUGAAGAUUCUGGAACAGUGCACGACAUGCCCAAUCCCAAGGUCUUCCCUUAGCUGGUGAAGCACAUGAGCCGGUGUCAAGCAAUAUCCCCUGUAUACUUUGUCCUUGUGUUCUUUCCAGGUAUGCAUCCAUAUCAGCUGCAUCAGGGAGCUCCAUGCACAGUGGUACUACUUCCGAACGUGUAGAACAUGCAAUUGUAUGUAAAUCGCCUUGAAAUGAUGGUUGCUGAAUACUGCAUUAUGCUUGAUAGUCGCACCUGGACGACUUCAAGCGCUAAUAGGUAAAUCCUUUUAGAUUUUGUAGUUCUUUUCAGUACAGAGAUAAUUCUGUUUCUUGCUUCCCAAUUUUUGGACGACAAAACAGAGAGGCUUUACAUUAUAAAAGUUACAGUAAUAGAUUAUAAAUAAGAAAAUAAGGUCCAAGCCAGACUCCAACUUAUAAAGGUUUUGUCUUUCACGUAAGGGGAUAUCAUACUUCAUCUAAUCAUGGUUGUCGUGUAACCUAAUGAUGGUUAGUUACUACAUCCAUAGAGAAAAUGAACAUGGAGAUAUUCUCAUGUCCAUAGUUUCCAGCGAUGAGAAUGGGCUACCCGGCAUUGCUCGGCUGCUGAAACUGAGCAAACUUUGUGUAGUUAUUCAUGGUAGAAAUUCCUACUUAAAUUAUCUAUUUCGCCAGAUUGAGAAACUGCAUACAUGCCUUCGUCAAUGCGCAAUCGAACAGCCGUCAGGUGGUGAUGAGAGGACUACUAAAAGCAAGGGAAACACACUUAAGUUUGCUAUCCACAGUUUCUUCAGAAUCUAAAUACCAGUGGCAUCACAAGUGGGCUUCUCAAUUAAUCCAAAAGAUCCAUCAGGUUGCAAAGAUAAAAACAAUGAACAGAACAUAUCUGAAAGCGGCCCAAGCAUCCUCUACUACUUUCGUUUAGAUGUUAUUUAUCUUGCUCUGUGUUGACAUAUUUUCUUCUUCCGUAGAUGCAAAGCAUCCAGGAUGUGAUCAAUCAUAUGCUGGAGAAUGGCAUUGAGACCUUACUUCACUGGAUAAUGGCAUUUAUAUGCGAUUCCAGUCCUUUCACAGUGCAGGUGAACUGGAAAUUCUAUCAAAGACAACUGUCCUUUCUUUAGUGUACAUGCAUGAUAUUACAUGAUUAAACAUACCAUUUUUAACUUCAUUUAGUUGUCUAUAUUAUUCUCUAUGUGCUAUUACCAACAAAAAUAGUGUUACCUCCGUACCAGGCCUUCCAAAUAUCUUAUAUUUUGGUACGGAGGUAGUACUUUUAGCCUGCAAAGCGACUUCUAUGCCCAUUGUGGCAAUAAUGUGUUUGCACCACUGAAGAGAUAACUUAUUUUUUUCAUUGUAAGAAACACAUCAUGUUUCUUCCCCAUCAUUUAAGUGUGUGCCAUGUUAUCUUUGUUCAUGUUGCUGGCUGUACAUUUUCAGUAUUCUCAGGAUAUAUCUGAUUAUGAUGAUGUUCCGUACUGCUCUAGAGCCAGCAACUUUUUGGACUGCUCGAUGUUUAUAACCAAUGAGACUACUUUUUUGGUUGUUGGCUGGAGCUAUCACUAUGACUGAAAUUUUCUUUCCACCCAAGUAAAUUUAUAUGGUCAUCAAAAACCAACGACAGGUCAACACUUGUCAGCAGUUUGCAAUUUGUAUUACAGUAUGCCUAAGCCAAUGUUCAGACAAUGUUGUUUUAGUUAGGAAAUGUAGAAAACAUGGUCAUGAUUUAUGUAGAUUGGACAGUCCCUUCAAACUGCAGUCUUUGAUCUAGAGUGGACAAUCUAACUAUUUGUUUCCUUUUAGAAAAUGACUAUAUGUUCCAUGAAUUCACUGCUUAUUUUGGCCAGAUCAGAUUAAACUAGGUCUUGAUUUCAAGGUUCAGUUAAGGCAGUUGGUGCAGGUUUGUUUGCUGUAAUACUAACUGUGCUAUUUAGACAGAGACAUUUGCUCUUUCUCAUUCCUCGACAUUUUCCUUUGCUACCAAGAUUUUUCAUUCUAGGUUGUGGAAAACGCAUGUCGCGUUCCUUCUACAAGUCGUCAUGAGCUGGGACAUAGAAGAAGAGAGCCGACGAGAAGUCGCAAAGCGGUUCGCUCCGGUGUUGCUGCCAAUGGCGCUGCACAAAGUGCAGAUUGCAGGCUAGAUGCGUACAAGUCCGUCCCUACUUCCACGACGUGGAAGCAAAGGAAAUUUAGUCAAUUAGAUAGUAUUUUUGGUUAUGAAAGUUAUCUUUUGUGUAUGCAGUUUUGCCAUCAUUUUGUAAAAGCUUUGAGUUUUUUAUAAUGUAAUUGUCUUACUAAUCACACUUUUAAUUGAUUUGUGCCAAGGCUAAUAGCCAAGUUAUGCACAAACUGUUCAUGUUUCCUUGAUGACUGCUAUUGUCAGAAGAUUCUUUUCAGCA